CCUACGGGCGGCAGCAGUGGGGAAUAUUGCACAAUGGGCGCAAGCCUGAUGCAGCCAUGCCGCGUGUGUGAAGAAGGCCUUCGGGUUGUAAAGCACUUUCAGCGGGGAGGAAGGCGGUGAGGUUAAUAACCUCAUCGAUUGACGUUACCCGCAGAAGAAGCACCGGCUAGCUCCGUGCCAGCAGCCGCGGUAAUACGGAGGGUGCAAGCGUUAAUCGGAAUUACUGGGCGUAAAGCGCACGCAGGCGGUCUGUCAAGUCGGAUGUGAAAUCCCCGGGCUCAACCUGGGAACUGCAUUCGAAACUGGCAGGCUAGAGUCUUGUAGAGGGGGGUAGAAUUCCAGGUGUAGCGGUGAAAUGCGUAGAGAUCUGGAGGAAUACCGGUGGCGAAGGCGGCCCCCUGGACAAAGACUGACGCUCAGGUGCGAAAGCGUGGGGAGCAAACAGGAUUAGAUACCCGAGUAGUC
rnacentral:rRNA from 1 species